GAUCACCUUUGUCUACAGUGGGUAAAAUGGAAUUUGUGGUGCUUACACUGUGUGACGAACAGGGAGACAUCACUGUAAGAGUCUCACAAGACAUUUCCCAAAGACUACAAAAUGAUAACAGUUUAGCAGCUGCACUUAUGCAGCAAGCAAGGGCUGCAACAAAUGCACAAGUCCCUUUAGAUCUGUCUUCAGAUGCUAGGCCUGCUCCUGAAAGGCCUGCUCCUGAUGAAAGACCUGCUCCUGACGAAAGGCCUGCUCCUGAUGAAAGACCUGCUCCUGACGAAAGGCCUGCUCCUGAUG